CUAUACAGGCCAAAAUCUAUCACAAUGUCAACCACGGAAAACAAUUUUCGAGUUGAAUCACUUCUUCAUAGUUUGAAAGAAGUGCAGAAUGAAAAAUGUUGCAUGGAACGUAAGUUGACUGAACAGAGAAAUAAACGAAGGAAUAUGGAGCGAGAGUUUGAAACUGUGAAUAUGAAGUUGGUACAAGUGACAGAUAUACACCACAAAAUGAUGGAAACCAUGAAAAUUGCCCAGUUAAAAGUUGCAAAGACACAAGCACAAGCCGAUAGUUUAGAAGAAGGAAAUGAGAAAAGACGGGGAAAGAUCGCCGACUUGAACAGACGAAUUGAACGAGAAAAGGAGAAACAGAAUGCAGAAGUAGCAAAAUUUGAGGAGGAGUUGUCUGAACUUGCUUCUAAAUUAAUAACUGCAAGAAACUGCCAUAAAGAUGAUCAUUUGGAAGAAACAUUGAAAAACCUUGAAUCCGAGAAGCGACAACUGGGGAAACAUAAGAGUUUGUUGAAGAGUGAAGUUGAUAAGCUUGCACAGACUCUGGAAUCCAUUACGUUACAGCAGCACCUUGGAGUAGAUUAUCCAGACAUAAAUGAAGAAACACGUCGACAAAUCUGGCAACUAUUUAAGGAGGAACACUGUGAAAGUAAAGAUUACUUGAAUAAAUUGAGUAAUGAGGUUGACGAUAUUCAGACACAAUUACAUCUUUAUCAACAGUAGAUUCGUCAUUAUCAGUUUGUUUUACCUUAAAGUCCUGAUGCGCCAUUUUAAGGAGUAGGAAUCGCUUGAAAAGAUGAAUCUCUACUAGGAUAUCUGUCCAAGGUGGUUCAAUUCCGUUCAGUAUUUACAAAUAUAUGUGGAAUUGAAAUUUAAUCGAUCUAUGCUACUCGCCAUGAAAUAAGCCAACCGCCAUUUUGAUGUCGGCUAUCAUUUACAUGUAGUGAUAGGCUUGUUUGAAAUCGAAUUGAAUUCAAGCCGAUAGGAUAACUAGCGUCAGUAUUUUGAUUUUGUUUUUUUAAUUAAAUGUUAAAUAAUUAUUAAUAUUAUGGAUUUGAUAUUUUAGCAACCAAUGCCAUGACGCAUCCGGAUUAUAUAAUUUACUCUGCCCAGUCAUGUCUUAGUUUGGUCAUUAUGAAGAACAUCCAAACACGAAAGGAUGUCCGUGUCUUGUGUCUAUAAUAAUACCUAGAUGAUAUUAUGAAAGACAGUGUCGAUUGAAAUCCCACUUCUAGUAUCAAUGAGCAAAUGUGGUCACCGGCGAUGGUUGAAUCCUCGAAAAUACAUCCAUCCAUAUUAGUAUCACCAACGGUUCGGGGCUAUUCUGCGUUCGAAUA